CACACACACACACACACACACACACACACACACACACACACACACACACACACCUUAGAGGAAAACGUACCAAACAUUUUGCGCAGUUUUUUUUUUUGCGCACGAGUUUUCUGCGGGGAAACUCGUGCGCCAAAGUGGAAACCUAAAACGCGCACACCUCAUCCAUCUCAGCCUCGCGCGCACACAGCUUUAAAACUCAAAAAAAGGAGAGGGAAUGCAGCAGAAGGCACCACCCGCUGCGCUCUCGACUUAACGCCAACAUAUGAUUGGUUAAUAGUUUUUAAUAUUGAUGGUUCAGGUCUUUCUCUCUUUUUUUUCUUUCUUUCUUUUGGUUAAAACCCUCGAGUCCCUUGUGGCUCCUUCCUUCCUGCCUGAGCAGCGMGGAGGUCAAACUCAAGACUGGGCAUGCUCAUCUCUGCAGCCUCUGCUGAGGCUCCAUGUUUGAAACAACACCCACCUCACCUCCGUGGUUCAUCAAACAGCGCGCGACAUGUUUUGUCCAAAAGGGGGAAAAAAGUGCAUAUUUUCCCCUAAGCAUACAUUUGGACUGCAGCCCGUACAAGCUCGCGCGCAGCACAAAAAACUGUCCUUUACGCGCAGCGCUGGGUGAGUUUACGCAGCGCAAAAAAGCUGCUCCUGAGUAUUUGGUUGUCCAGUGUCUGUCUGUCCUUCCCAUCAGGACUCCCUGCGGCUCGUUGGGUCCGUUUUCCUGGCGCUUUAUAGAAUCUGCAGAAAUAAAUAAAUUAGCACGAUUUUCCUCGUGCGGAUUCUGCAGGAGGAUCACACCGGGUCUCACGGGGAGCUGAAGGUUCUGCUCGUGUGGSUCACAGGAGUUCUUAAGACGUUAUUUAUGAUGUCUGCAGCAGGAGGGAGAAGCCGAAGGGGAGAGACUCAACCCGGAGACCUCCUGGCUGCAGCCCCGCUGAAGCACGACCAGGACCUGGUGUUGGACSGGGAUCUGGGCGGCUUCUGCUGGACCAGGAGGGAGUCUGAGAGACUGGGGGAGCCGACAGAAGCUGCAGGAUGUUAGUUCUGGUGCCACUGACACUCAAAUAAACUCCAUGUAAAAAAGCAA